AACGAACGCUGGCGGCAUGCCUAACACAUGCAAGUCGAACGAGACCUUCGGGUCUAGUGGCGCACGGAUGCGUAACGCGUGGGAACCUGCCCUUAGGUUCGGAAUAACACCCCGAAAGGGGUGCUAAUACCGGAUAAUGUCUUCGGACCAAAGAUUUAUCGCCUUUGGAUGGGCCCGCGUUGGAUUAGCUAGUUGGUAGGGUAAAAGCCUACCAAGGCGACGAUCCAUAGCUGGUCUGAGAGGAUGAUCAGCCACACUGGGACUGAGACACGGCCCAGACUCCUACGGGAAGCAGCAGUGGGGAAUAUUGGACAAUGGGCGAAAGCCUGAUCCAGCAAUGCCGCGUGAGUGAUGAAGGCCUUAGGGUUGUAAAGCUCUUUUACCCGGGAUGAUAAUGACAGUACCGGGAGAAUAAGCUCCGGCUAACUCCGUG
rnacentral:rRNA from 1 species